rnacentral:lncRNA from 1 species
ACAUAGGAAGACUGUUGUAGUUUAAUAGAACUUUAUUAUUUAAUCAUUGAUUCCGUUUAAGGGAUCAUUCUAAUACUUACAAAGGAUUCUGGGCUAUAAUAGAAUGCAAUUUUCGUAGAAGAAAGCAACCGUAUCUUUCAAGGACGAAUGAAGUUACGUAGGAAGUCUGUGGUAGUUUAAUAGAACUUUGUUGGGAUCAGUCAAUCAUUGCUUCCGUUUAACGAUAGAUAUAAAAUUUGAGUCAUUUUCUAUGGACACAGGGAAAAAGGAAAAAUGUUACAUAAUAUCUUCACAAAAUUAACUGAAAUCAUCCCGGAAUUAUUUGUAUUUGCAAAUCGAAUGAUGGACUAUCAAACAGGACUCCAUAAUUAUUGAGGGUUAUCUAAUGAAAUGGUUAAUGGAAUAAGAAACAGUCAAAGGACAAUGAUUGGCUAAUUGUUUAUUGAAACAGCAGAAGAUAUAGUGCAAACAUUGUUGAACAAGUAAUUAAAGGCGCGUUAUAUUAAUACUACAACACCACACACUCCUUCCCCACUCACACGAGCAUUGCUAGCUCUCUGUGUUGGUUAAUAAAAUUUCCUAAUUCAACAUUAGUGAAUUUCAUUAGCUGAUGCGGUUGGUUAACAGUGUUUUUGUCGGUGUGGAUCCCCGGCUUAAGAUGACUCCAGAGCGCGGCGCGGCCUUCCCCAAGAGAGGAGACUUCUUGGGUCACCCCCUAACCCCGAUGUUCGGGCAUCGAUGACCUGUGUAGCAUGCAGAGGUACCCAAGGGAGUCACCACCCUCUGAUUUACGAGCUAGGUGUUCUAAUGCUAGAGGCUUCGGCCGGAUACAACCUGGCACCCAAGCUCCGAGAUUUCUUCGUGCACGUAUUCCGUGACCCUCGAAGAGGCAGGGGGCGGGUAUCGGACACAUUGAAGAUGAUGAGGGGGGUCCGCCUGUAGGGGGUCCCGGUGGAUGUCCGUCCGACGGGUGACGAGGGUGACCCCAGACGAGGCAGCUUAAUUGGGAUGGGAACUGACUGGUGAGGCUUAAUCGUCGACCAAUGGGUCGAAUCUGCAUAAGGAAGGCAACCAGCACACACUCGCAGGCGGAUCGUGGAAACAUUUUUUUGUUUUUUCUCUUGGUCUGCCCCGCGUCGAAUUUUGAAGGCAGAAAAUGUCGGGAGGAGGCAAGCAUAACCAGGCCUAACUCAAACCUGUUAAAAGACAACUCGGGUUCGCAGCGCGAUUUUAAAAAACAAGAUUGAAGAAGUCAGAAAUUCUAUCUACAUGCUGCAUAUGAUCAGUCCCAAAAAAUUUCGGAUUGUUCCAGGCAUCGUCGAAUACCUGGAAAACGUGUUUAUUGUCAACUCUACAGGAUCGACCGAAAUCCAUGGAGUUGGGGGCAUUCGAUGUGCCCCAUAGCAGUGAGACGCCACUGUUUUUUUCGCCGUAUAAUUAUUAUGGUGGGACUGAAAAUGAACUUAAGCAAGAUGCGAUGGUGAUACAGUAUGGCUUGGAGAACUUCAAAAGUCGGUUCGCGUCGUGGUUCCAAAGCAGUAACUUUAGGUUCCCUACAUUUACAGAAUGUCGCAUUAAGUACUCAUUUCUUAAUUUGCAAUUUGUACAUUCAUUUUUACUUUUUUUCUUGCUCUAUAUAAGGCUUUAAUAGUUUUACA